ensembl:lncRNA
AGAGAGAAGCUGAAGCAGUAAGCAGUUGAGAGGAUUUUGUUUUUCCUGUCAAGUACAAGUUUCAUUCUAUUUUUUUUUUUAGGAUCAGAGCUUCUGUCUCUGUCAGUUUAGAUAAAUCUUCAUAUUUAUUUAGUCUGCUAUGUGGAAAAAAUGUUGAUUGAACUGCUGUGUAUGUUACAGAAGCACCUGAGGAUGCUGUCUGCCUCUUUCUAAUGCUUUUAAUGGUGUGGCACGAUACCGCAGUUCUUCAAAGCAUUAUGUGAACAGUACAGAUACAGAUGUCCUGAGUGCUUCACCUCAUUCACCCAACUGCACUUGAAGAUGUCCUUGGAAUGAGGAACACUUCAAAGAUUCAAGUCCAAGUUUCAAGUUCAAUGUGGUUGUUGAAGAGCACCAGUGUUUAAGCACUUUACUCCAGGCCUCUCUUCGGUUCUGAAAGCAUCAGAUAACAGCUGCAAGCUUUAAAAAGCAGCUGGAUAUAAGUGGUGUACCCUAUAAUCUGUUCAAAGCCUUUUGUACUGUAACACUUCUGUCUUUGAAACCAAUAAUCUCUUUUUUUUUGUUUCAAACUUUUUGAUGGAUUAUGUUUCUUGGAAUUGCCCAGACUCUCUAAACUGAGGUUUGUUUUGAGGAACUGUAGGGGCUGGGUUUUAAUUUGUCCCAGUUUUCUCCUCUUGCUGUAUUAUGCAAGCUUCUCAUUUUGUGUUUAUACCAUUAAGAUAUUGCUUAGGAAUACUAUUACUUGAAUAGUUCUGGAGAUCAAAUUGCCCAUGGAAAUACCACAUGCGAUAAUGCUGUUAUACUCUGAUUAUAUUAUAUGCUAUUGUGUAUUGUAAUUAGACAUAUUUUAAAAUAGUAUCCCCUAAGGCCAAUGAAAUCAUGUAAUUCAGAACUACUAGGUUAUCCUAAGCAGUCUGAAGGUUCUGGAUGAGUAGACCAGCUCCUGGAAGUCAGUUUCGUGGGAGACCUAUUGGACAACCCUGUGGAGAAAGCUGCUGGCAGCUACUACUGUCUGGGAAAUUGGUUAUAUAAUGUGUGAUGGAGUUUAAAGGGCCCAAGGGGAGCAUUUUGUUAACGAUAGGGAAUAAAACUGCCCAUAGGAAUACUGAGGAGCUGGAGGUAGGAAGCGGUUCCAGUGUUGAGAAUGUUUUGUCUUAGUUCUGACUGUAAGUCUUCUCUCAGGAAGAGAGGUGGAGUGGUUGGAUAUGUUUGUAGCUGCAUGCUGUUAUCUAAAACUACUUGUAUUUUUUAUGUAGACAAUACUUUGAAGCAAUUUCUAUGAAGUUAUGUGUUAAGCAUUGUUAUUAAUUGUAAGCAGUUGUUUGUAAUGCUUUGAACUAAGUAAAAUCACCUUCAGGUGAUUUUUCUUUUUUUUUCCCCCUCUAGUAUUAUCCUCACUAGUAUUGCUUCUGCACAUCCUUAACGGUACUAUGCUGAUACAACCUAUCUGAAUAAAGUGAAAUAAUGCUUCCUUUGCAGUGUUCAGAGUGCAGGCCUUAAUCAUCCUUAAUUUUUAAGUCUAAUCCUCAAGUUAGAACAAGUGUUUUUUUUAUCUUCUUGAGCAACAGAUAAGCUUCUUGUAGAACCACUAUUGCUGAAUGAGAAAUACCACCCUGGAUGUUUUGCAGCCCUCUCAGGGUGACUGAGGAAACUGUUAAAGACAUGGAAGUGGAUUGCUACUUGUGGCAUACUAGCAUGUAACACCGAUCUGUAACAGUAACUCCAUCACUAAAAAUCUUGGCAGGAAUGGUUGUGGUAACUGAAGCGUAAUGUAAAUGUAUCAAAAUGAUAGGAAUUAAUUUUGAAUUACACUUUCAUUUAGUUUUGUUCUAAUAACUUAAUUUUACUAGUAAAGAGUUUAAAACUAAGAACUUCAAGGCACGUUUUCACAAGUUUGUUCUUGAAACUUGGGGAAAUAAUCUCUGUGCUCCUGAUCUGUGUAGGAGUUCUUGCAUGAGGAGUAGUGGAUUGAGUUCCCCCAGGUUUAAUGCCAGAGUUAACUGAAAGCCCAGAGACAAAAGCUUUGUCGUUGUUUCUGAGGCUGCACUUCUGAUUCAUUCUGUUCUCUAAUUCACUGUGUCUUGAGAAUGCUGAUCCCAGAUCAGAAUAUGAGCUUGAAAAUGCUGUAAUAUUAAAAUUACAGUUGAGAUAGUGGGUAUAUUUCUGCUCCAUCUCUAGUGUUCAAGACUAAUAGGCUUGUUUUUUUUCCAACCCACUAUAGUAAGAUAAUUCAGCAGAAACUUCUAAUUAGCUUUUAUAUUUUACUCCAAUGCUGCUGUUGUCUAUAGGGCAGUAGAAGUAAGCUGUUUUACAGAGUUUAUACUGUCUGUGGUAUUAGAUCUACAGAAUUUAAUACAGUGCUAUGCUGUCUCACUGUAAUCUUGCUGUGGUUCCCCCCCUGUCGUCCCCCCCCCCCCCCCCCAUCUUAGUAAAUAAAUCCAAAUGCAGAAUUGAAUAGUUAAAACCUCUUAUGUGGCAACUGAUCAUGCUGAAUGACCCAGCAAAAAAAGUCCUGAGCUUGAUGAAUGAAAAAUAUACCUGUAAAGAGAACUUCAUCAUGUUUCAGUAAUUUUACCUUAAGUGUGUUUCUAAACUCCUUGUGAUAGCGUGUCUAACACUUGUGAAUUUAAAUGUGAAGAUUAAGAUUCUACUUAGCCCUUCUUGUAAUGUCAUUGCUAAUGAGGAAUUUCCAGAGCUGUGUCAUGGUUCUUAUUUUUUGUUGGUAUUCCAGAUCACAACAUCAUAUAGUGCACUGGGAGUUACAGUGUUAAUGCUCCAGUCCUGUGGAUCAUUGCUACUUCUGGGUAUAGCUGCCUCAGAAGAGGAGGAGAACUACAUACCCCAGAGGACUGUUCACUGUUUAGUUUCUGUUUUUCAUUCAGAGGGAUAGACAAAACUGUUCACAGACCAAGGUGUCCCCUCUUCCCUUUCUUCUCGUCUCUGCAGUGUGUGUGCUCCCCAGCUGUCUUGUCUACAGCAUUAGAGUAAGGCCUUCAGUUUUUUGGACACACAUUUAAUUUGUUUAGUAUUCAUUUUAUUGGCCUCAAUUACAAUUGUAUUGUAUUAUUUUGUGUUACCUCGCAUUCUGAUAUCAUAUUUAGUAAAUUAACUUUCCUCCUCA